rnacentral:misc_RNA from 1 species
GGAAUUUUUAUUAAAAAAAAAAGUAGUUACAAUGAGCGCUAGGAGAGGCAAAGGACAUCACAAUCAAAUAAAUCAGCGAAAAAAUAACUAUCUUUCAAUGAUUCAGAAUGCAAAUAGGAAAAACUUUUCCAUUCAAAAACCUAAUUAAACUCUGAAUUCCUUAAAUAAAGAUCCACAUAGACUACCCACCUCACUAAUUUUUUAUUCCUCGACAUUCCCUCCACUUUCUCAGCAACCAACAAAGAAACAAACAAUCAAACUGCCAUACUCCAAAUAAGAAAUAACACUAACCUGAGCAGUACUAAGAUCGAC